AACGUAGGGGACAAGCGUUAUCCGGAUUUACUGGGCGUAAAGCGCCCGUAGGCGCCUGACAAGUUGGACGUGAAAGCUCCUGGCUUAACUGGGAGAGGCCGUUCAAAACUGUCAAGCUAGAGUCUGGAAGAGGAGAGCGGAAUUCCCGGUGUAGUGGUGGAAUGCGUAGAGAUCGGGAGGAACACCAGUGGCGAAAGCGGCUCUCUGGUCCAAAACUGACGCUGAGGGGCGAAAGCGUGGGGAGCGAACAGG
rnacentral:rRNA from 1 species